GACCAAGAUAUGUCGGUUGCUAUUUUUGGUUCUUGGUAGUGGCCCUACCACAUCCAUAUCUAUGUGUGAAAAAGGGACAUCGAUUAUAGACAUCUUCACCAUAGGUACUCUGACUUUUUUUGCGCUGAUGUAAGCUGACAUUCUAGGCAAUUUUUGCAAAAUUCAAUCGCAUCUCCAUACUGACCUGGCCAGUAGAAUCUGUGCGCUAUGUGGCUUAAGGUUUUGGCUUGGCCAAAAUGACCUGCCCAGGGAGCUGAAUGACCCAUUUUGAGCACUUCUUCCAUAAGACCUAGUGGGAGUAUCAGCUGCUCUCCCUAGUCAGAGACUCUAUACAAUUUGUUUUCUUUAACAGCUAAGUGGCAACCUUCCUCACUGUUGUCACUGUACAGUUUGCUUUUAGCGAAAAGUGGUUUUAGUGUCUCAUCCUGACUCUGGAGCUGUUCAAAGUUAGUGGGUAAGCUGAUACUAUCAAUAGUUGGACGUUGCAGAUUCUCACUCACUUUGGUUCAUAAAACUUUGCCUUUUCUUUUCUCCGUUUUGGACUUUUUCUGUUUGGGCUCUACAGCAUAGGGUAGUUCAUUUAGCAGUUCGACGGCCUCCUUAGUUGUACGUUUAGCGUGCGGCCUAGUUACAACUAUAACCUCAGCCUUGCUUGUUUGUUUUUUGUUUAGCAGGUCAACCAGAAUAGGAAUAUCUCUACCUAGUAUUACCGCAUACGGAGCAUUCCGAAUUAUUCCUACUUUUAUCAGGCUCUUCACCGCUCCCCUUCUACAGAGGAUGGACUCACCCAGAGUAUAUAGAAGCAUUACAGGACCACAAAGAACAUGAAAACGUGGAUUCUUGAAGUGGUGAAGGAGAGUGCUGUUUUAUCAAGAUCACUGUCCAGUCAAUGUUGCAGUUGUAAUUGAAGAAGAUGUAGUAAUGGACAACCUGCCCCACUACACUAAUGCCUUCAAGACACCAAACCAUCGAAAAUUUGCAAUUACAUUUAGGUGCUAAAUUGACUUGUAAUUUGUAGUUGUCCUUGCACCUUAAAAACUACAUUUAGGCUCUACUUACAUUUUUUUAUAUAAAUUGUUACAAUUACACACUAUAACAUUUAUAACUUGUAAUUUGUUUGAUGCUUGUG